GGGGAAUAUUGGACAAUGGGCGAAAGCCUGAUCCAGCCACGCCGCGUGUGUGAAGAAGGUCUUCGGAUUGUAAAGCACUUUAAGUUGGGAGGAAGGGCUGCAAGUUAAUACCUUGUAGUUUUGACGUUACCAACAGAAUAAGCACCGGCUAACUUCGUGCCAGCAGCCGCGGUAAUACGAAGGGUGCAAGCGUUAAUCGGAAUUACUGGGCGUAAAGCGCGCGUAGGUGGUUUGGUAAGAUGGAUGUGAAAUCCCCGGGCUCAACCUGGGAACUGCAUCCAUAACUGCCUGACUAGAGUACGGUAGAGGGUGGUGGAAUUUCCUGUGUAGCGGUGAAAUGCGUAGAUAUAGGAAGGAACACCAGUGGCGAAGGCGACCACCUGGACUGAUACUGACACUGAGGUGCGAAAGCGUGGGGAGCAAACA
rnacentral:rRNA from 1 species